rnacentral:tRNA from 1 species
GGCAGGAUGGCCGAGCGCUCUGAGGCGCUAGCUUCGGGCGCAAGUGGCGUGGGUUUGAAUCCCACUCCUGUCA